rnacentral:rRNA from 1 species
UACGGAGGAUUCGAGCGUUAUCCGGAUUUAUUGGGUUUAAAGGGUCCGUAGGCGGCACAAUAAGUCAGAGGUGAAAGGCCACCGCUUAACGGUGGGACUGCCUUUGAUACUGUUGAGCUAGAAUUUGGUUGAGGUUGGCGGAAUGCGGCAUGUAGCGGUGAAAUGCAUAGAUAUGCCGUAGAACACCAAUUGCGAAGGCAGCUGACUGGACCAUAAUUGACGCUGAGGCACGAAAGCGUGGGGAGCGAACAGG